rnacentral:rRNA from 1 species
GACGAACGCUGGCGGCGUGCUUAACACAUGCAAGUCGAACGGAAAGGCCCUGCUUUUGUGGGGUGCUCGAGUGGCGAACGGGUGAGUAACACGUGAGUAACCUGCCCUUGACUUUGGGAUAACUUCAGGUAACUGGAGCUAAUACCGGAUAGGAGCUCCUGCUGCAUGGUGGGGGUUGGAAAUUUUCGGCGGUUGGGGCUGGACUCGCGGCUUAUCAGCUUGUUGGUUGGGUAGUGGCUUACCAAGGCUUUGACGGGUAGCCGGCCUGAGAGGGUGGCCGGCCACAUUGGGACUGAGAUACGGCCCAGACUCCUACGGGAGGCAGCAGUGGGGAAUAUUGCACAAUGGGCGGAAGCCUGAUGCAGCAACGCCGCGGGCGGGAUGACGGCCUUCGGGUUGUAAACCGCUUUCGGCUGUGACGAAGCGUGAGUGACGGUAAUGGGUAAAGAAGCACCGGCUAACUACGUG